rnacentral:rRNA from 1 species
UGGGGAAUUUUGGACAAUGGGCGAAAGCCUGAUCCAGCAAUGCCGCGUGUGUGAAGAAGGCCUUCGGGUUGUAAAGCACUUUUGUCCGGAAAGAAAUCCUUGGCUCUAAUACAGUCGGGGGAUGACGGUACCGGAAGAAUAAGCACCGGCUAACUACGUGCCAGCAGCCGCGGUAAUACGUAGGGUGCAAGCGUUAAUCGGAAUUACUGGGCGUAAAGCGUGCGCAGGCGGUUUGCUAAGACCGAUGUGAAAUCCCCGGGCUCAACCUGGGAACUGCAUUGGUGACUGGCAGGCUAGAGUAUGGCAGAGGGGGGUAGAAUUCCACGUGUAGCAGUGAAAUGCGUAGAGAUGUGGAGGAAUACCGAUGGCGAAGGCAGCCCCCUGGGCCAAUACUGACGCUCAUGCACGAAAGCGUGGGGAGCAAAACAGGAUUAGAUACCCUGGUAGUCCACGCCCUAAAACGAUGUCAACUAGUUGUCGGGUCUUCAUUGACUUGGUAACGUAGCUAACGCGUGAA